CUUGAUUUUUCCAACAAUCUUAGGCAGAUCCACUGACCGUUUCUAGAGCAAGUGGUAAAGAAUUUGGUGAUUGGUAUUCGAGACCCAAAUUCGAAUUCUAGUUGAUUCACAUUUCUAGCUAAGUUUAUUUCUAAAUAAAAUAAAUGAAGCGGGUAGCGUGCUACCUAUUUCUCAAAAAAAAAAAAAAAAUCUUAAACAGAUCCGACUAUUUAUUUCAAAAUAUUGCCUAUGUUUUUUCAGCCAAAUUAUCCAUAUCAGAUCCCGGCCGCCGAAUUCAAAUCCUUCGUUCAAGUCUGGAAAGUUUUUAUUACAUUCAACCUCUUACAGAGAAUCUCCCCAUUCCCACUGGCUUAGUCUUUUAUAUCACUGUUAUUUAUUGACUUCCGCACUGCACGCAAAUUCAAUAACAAAUAUUUUUAAAACAUCAUUUAAUUCACUAUUAUAAGGUUAAUUUCGAACAACUCUAUUAUGUAAACAUAUCGAAUAAUAAAUAAUACAGAACUUUUACAGAAUUAUCUUUGUAAAUGUUCAGGAAUAUUCAUAUUUGUCCCUUUGAUUAGAAUACUAUUUAUUUUUUAGCAAAAAAAUAAGUAAAAUAAUAUUUUUGCAAUUACAAAUAUAUCUCUCCAAAAGUUUCAACUGUCAGAAUUAUAUAUAUAGAAUGUCAUUUCAAAAUCUCGGUGAUUAAUUAUAUCGUUUUAACAAAUAGAAUUGAUACAUUUGAAAAUGUUAGAAUUUUUACGUAAUAAAUAUAAGAAGUUGAAUCUUGUGAAAAUAUAUUUGUAAAAUUUUAUAUGUAAUUAACUAAUUAUAAAAUUAUUAUUAAUUAACGG
rnacentral:lncRNA from 1 species